rnacentral:rRNA from 1 species
UACGUAGGGCGCAAGCGUUGUCCGGAUUUAUUGGGCGUAAAGAGCGUGUAGGCGGCCAUACAGGUCCGUUGUGAAAACUGGAGGCUUAACCUCCAGACGUCGAUGGAAACCGUAUGGCUAGAGUCCGGAAGAGGAGAGUGGAAUUCCUGGUGUAGCGGUGAAAUGCGCAGAUAUCAGGAAGAACACCCGUGGCGAAGGCGGCUCUCUGGGACGGUACUGACGCUGAGACGCGAAAGCGUGGGGAGCGAACAGG